AUACCUACCUGGCAGGGGAGAUACGAUGAUCAUGAAGGUGGUAUUCCUAGGGCGAGGCUUAUCUGUUGCACUAUGGAUGUGCUGACUCCUGCAAUUUCCCCAAAUGUGAAAACUGCAACUGCAUAAUUUGUGGUAGUGGGGACCCAUGUUCAUGCUUUCCCC
ensembl:snRNA U1 U1 spliceosomal RNA